GGCAGGACCACACUUGCACAUGCCAUCAUUCUCAGCAGCUGCUGGGGCAUUGAUCACGUUGUCAAAGUAGCUGAAGAAAUUACAUGAAAGAACUGCAACACAAGAUGAAGGGUCGAAGUAGAUGAUGACUUACACGCACUGGCUCUUGUCAGCGCAGUCGCAGUUGCCACAGGUUGACAUGUUGAGGUGGAAUGAGAUAACUGAGGGCAGAAGGCUACAAGAAAGAUCAAGAGUUGUGGGAUGUGUUCUUGGGGAUGAGUGUUUGCUUGGUUGGUGCUUAUUUAUAGGCCUUUUUUUUUUUUUUGGUUCCUGAAGAGACCUCCCGUCAUUGUUUGUGCUGUCCACACGCCGCCACCAAGAUAAGCAUCCAAAGGAAUCUCAAUUAUGGGGAGCAGAAGACGGACAUACACCUCUCAUGUCAACAUCUUAAUUCUCUGACCUUUUCCCAAUGUUGGAGAUAGGCAUCGAAGCUUGUGAAGGUUCAUCUUUCCAUACCAGGUGUGGUGGAUAUUCUGUCAUCCUCUUGCUGAGUUGUGAUGGGAGUUUUGUGGAGAGUAGAAUCCAUCAGACUAUCAGGCCAAGGAGGUGGAUAUGAUCUCAUCCAUUGUUCAUCAAGCAAUGAUAGUUUACCCUGUAAACUUAUGCAGGUGGCCAAGAUGGUUGUGAAGCAGGAACAUCGAUGAAGGGUGGGGAGAUUCUGAAGGUAAUGGUUCUACUUGUGCGCCUCACCUCAACAUUUCUGGCGUGGUCUGGUCUGGUCUUUAAAUCAACAGGUUCUACUGCUUCCUAUACAACAAAUCAGAAUCAGCAUUUUCAAGAUGGGGCCAGUUUUACCAGCAGCAGAUAGGGAGGGGCCCAAAGGCCGGCUUAUUAUAUGCAACAUUCUAGUUAUGGAAAGUAGAACAUCAUGAAUGCAGGCUGCUUCCACGACAAUGACUUAUCAGAGAGGGGGAGGGGGGGAGCGGGCUCAUGCUCAUCGAGUAUCGAAAUGAUGAGGUGUA